UACAGAGGGUGCGAGCGUUAAUCGGAAUUACUGGGCGUAAAGCGCGCGUAGGCGGCUUUGCAAGCCGUAUGUGAAAUCCCCGGGCUUAACCUGGGAACUGCAUUCGGGACUGCAUUGCUAGAGUAUGGGAGAGGGAAGUGGAAUUUCAGGUGUAGCGGUGAAAUGCGUAGAUAUCUGAAGGAACAUCAGUGGCGAAAGCGACUUCCUGGACCAAUACUGACGCUCAUGUGCGAAAGCGUGGGGAGCAAACAGG
rnacentral:rRNA from 1 species